rnacentral:rRNA from 1 species
GGAAGGUGCGAGCGUUAAUCGGAAUCACUGGGCGUAAAGCACGCGUAGGCGGUUAGGUAAGUCAGAUGUGAAAGCCCCGGGCUCAACCUGGGAACUGCGUUUGAUACUGCCUGACUAGAGUGUGGUAGAGGGAAGUGGAAUUCCACAUGUAGCGGUGAAAUGCGUAGAGAUGUGGAGGAACACCAAUGGCGAAGGCAACUUCCUGGAUCAACACUGACGCUCAGGUGCGAAAGCGUGGGGGGGAGCAAACAGGAUUAGAUACCCUGGUAGUCCACGCUGUAAACGAUGUCUACUAGCCGUUGGGAGGGUUUGCCUCUUAGUGGCGCAGCUAACGUGAUAAGUAGACCCGCCUGGGAGUACGGCCGCAAGGUUA